UGGCUCAGUUGGUAGAGCAUGUGACUCUCGAUCUCAGGGUUGUGGGUUCGAGCCCAU
rnacentral:tRNA from 1 species